rnacentral:rRNA from 1 species
GAACGGGCUUACAAACUUCGGUUUGUAAGUUAGUGGCGGACGGGUGAGUAACGCGUGGGUAACCUGCCCUGUACAGGGGGACAACAGCUGGAAACGGCUGCUAAUACCGGCAAUAAGCGCACGUGAUCGCAUGAAUCGAGUUGUGAAAAGAUUUAUCAGUACAGGAUGGGCCCGCGUCUGAUUAGCCAGUUGGCAGUGGUAACGGCCUACCAAAGCGAACGAUCCAGUAGCCAGAUCUGCAGAGGAUUGACCGGCCAACAUUCGGGACUGAGACACGGCCCAAACUCCUACGGGAGGCAGCAGUAGGGAAUAUUGCACAAUGGGGGAAACCCUGAUGCAGCGACGCCGCGUGAGUGAAGAAGUAUUUCGGUAUGUAAAGCUCUAUCAGCAGGGAAGAAGAAGACGGUACCUGAGUAAGAAGCACCGGCUAAAUACGUGCCAGCAGCCGCGGUAAUACGUAUGGUGCAAGCGUUAUCCGGAUUUACUGGGUGUAAAGGGAGCGCAGGUGGUAAGGCAAGCCAGAAGUGAAAGCCCGAGGCUCAACCGCGGGACUGCUUUUGGAACUGUCAUACUGGAGUGCAGGAGGGGUAAAGCGGAAUUCCUGGUGUAGCGGUGAAAUGCGUAGAAUAUCAAGAGAGGAACACCGGCGGCGAAGGCGGCUUACUGGACUGCAACUGACACCUGAGGCUCGAAGGCGUGGGGAGCAAACAGGAUUAGAUUACCCCUGGUAGUCCACGCGGUAAACGAUGAAUACUAGGUGUCGGGGGGGAACCCUCGGUGCCGUCGCAAACGCAAUAAGUAUUCCACCUGGGGAGUACGUUCGCAAGAAUGAAACUCAAAGGAAUUGACGGGGACCCGCACAAGCGGUGGAGCAUGUGGUUUAAUUCGAAGCAACGCGAAGAACCUUACCUGUCCUUGACAUCCGGUCCGAGUAGGUGUAACGGCCUAAGCCCUUCGGGGGGACCGAGACAGGUGGUGCAUGGUUGUCGUCAGCUCGUGUCGUGAGAUGUUGGGUUAAGUCCCGCAACGAGCGCAACCCCUAUCUUCAGUAGCCAGCAGUAAGAUGGGAACUCUGGAGAGACUGCCCGGGACAACCGGGAGGAAGGCGGGGAUGACGUCAAAUCAUCAUGCCCCUUAUGGGCAGGGCUACACACGUGCUACAAUGGCGUAAACAAAGGGAAGCGAAGCCGCGAGGUGAAGCAAACCCCAAAAAUAACGUCCCAGUCCGGAUUGCAGUCUGCAACUCGACUGCAUGAAGUUGGAAUCGCUAGUAAUCGCAGAUCAGAAUGCUGCGGUGAAUACGUUCCCGGGUCUUGUACACACCGCCCGUCACACCAUGGGAGUCGGCAAUGCCCGAAGUCAGUGGCCCAACCGAAAGGAGGAGCUGCCGAAG